rnacentral:rRNA from 1 species
GCCGCGCCCCGCGCCCGUCCCGCCGCCCCCGCCCGAGAGUUUGAUCCUGGCUCAGGAUGAACGCUGGCGGCGUGCUUGACCCAUGCAAGUCGAACGGGCCGGCUUCCCUCAAGAGCUCGGGAAGGGGGGCGGGAUGAGAAAUCGUGCCAAACCCUGGAACGGGAGGGCGAGGGAGUCGCUGGUCAGUGGCGAACGGGUGAGUAACACGUAGGUUAUCUGCCCCGAAGUGGGGAAUAACUGUCCGAAAGGGCGGCUAAUUCCGCAUGUGGUCCGACUUUGGUCGGAAGAAAGGGAGCAAUCCCGCUUUGGGAGGAGCCUGCGGCCGAUUAGCUAGUUGGUGGGGUAAUGGCCUACCAAGGCGAUGAUCGGUAGCUGGCCUGAGAGGACGAUCAGCCACACUGGAACUGAGACACGGUCCAGACUCCUACGGGAGGCAGCAGGGGGGAAUAUUGGACAAUGGGGGAAACCCUGAUCCAGCAACGCCGCGUGGGCGAAGAAGGCCUUCGGGUUGUAAAGCCCUUUUCUGAGGGAAGAGGAAGGACGGUACCUCAGGAAUAAGUCUCGGCUAACUACGUGCCAGCAGCCGCGGUAAAACGUAGGAGGCGAGCGUUAUCCGGAUUUACUGGGCGUAAAGGGCAAGUAGGCGGUGGCCAAAGUUGGGCGUGACAUCUCCCGGCUCAACUGGGAGGGGUCGCUCAAAACUAGGCGACUUGAGGGCAGGAGAGGGAAGCGGAAUUCCUAGUGUAGCGGUGGAAUGCUCAGAUAUUAGGAAGAACACCAGUGGCGAAGGCGGCUUCCUGGCCUGUACCUGACGCUGAGAGGCGAAAGCUAGGGGAGCGAACGGGCUUAGAUACCCCGGUAGUCCUAGCUGUAAACGUUGGAUACUGGGUAUUGGGGGUGACAAUGCCCUCAGUGCCGAAGCAAACGCGUUAAGUAUCCCGCCUGGGGACUACGGCCGCAAGGUUAAAACUCAAAGGAAUUGACGGGGGCCCGCACAAGCAGCGGAGCGUGUGGUUUAAUUCGAUGCGACACGAAGAACCUUACCUGGGCUUGACAUGUACGUAGUAGGGGACCGAAAGGCGACCGACCCUUCGGGGAGCGUACACAGGUGCUGCAUGGCUGUCGUCAGCUCGUACCGUGAGGUGUUGGGUUAAGUCCCACAACGAGCGCAACCCUCGUUGCCAGUUAAAGCUUUCUGGCGAGACUGCCGGCGUAUAACCGGAGGAAGGUGGGGAUGACGUCAAGUCAGCAUGGCCUUUAUGUCCAGGGCUACACACACGCUACAAUGGUCGGUACAAUGGGUAGCCAAGCCGCGAGGCGGAGCUAAUCUCGUAAAGCCGGCCUCAGUUCAGAUUGCAGGCUGCAACUCGCCUGCAUGAAGUCGGAGUUGCUAGUAACCGCAGGUCGGCCAUACUGCGGUGAAUACGUUCCCGGGCCUUGUACACACCGCCCGUCACACCAUGGGAGUUGGGGGCGCCCGAAGCCGGCUAGCUAACCUUUUGGAAGCGGUCGUCGAAGGUGAAACCAAU